CCAUUCAGUCCGUUCUGAUGACCACACAGACACAAAAGCAACGUACUACAAGUAUACUAGGUGGAUGCACAUUAUUUGCCCAAAGCCAAUGUAAUUUGUUCGAUACUUCUAUCUAGCUACAUUCUCUCCGAACCAUCUCUGGGUCUUUCAUCCUCGUCAAUUGUAAUUUUUUCGAUCUACUUGGCUUCUGUCAUCAUAUCCUAGUACCAGUGCUGAUUCAAGUUAGUUGAGGCCAGUCGCCAAGCCAUGGGUUAGAUCGAUCUAGCUGCUGCGUACACCGAAGAGAUGGCCUGAGACUAGCUGGCAAUCUCAGGUUAUACUCGAAAUCCGUCGUGCGAACUGAGAUUAAAGCUAUUUAAGUCCGACUUGCGUUCUUCAAUGGCACAAGAAAGACUGAAUGAUUUGGUUACGCUAGCACUUAGACUCGUGGAGUAAUCUGGCGGAGAAGAUUGAUUAUGAGCACAUCAUUAAAAACAUAUAAAAAAUGAUGUUUAGGUAAAGAUUAUUCAGCUAGAUAUAUAUCGCAGUCUAGCUAUAUGUUGUUCUUUAUAGCUUAUACAUCAUUAUUGUUGACUAGUUGUAUUUCUCUAAACCCUAUUUUAGAGUUUGGCACAGUGACCCGGAUUUUGUUGCGACGGCCCUGUAUGUUCAGUCACCAAUCGGCUCCUCCACAUCUCCCACUUCCGAGUUCUGACAAAGUUGUCUACUCCGGUUGGAGGAAAUUAAACCAUCUCGAAUUCUAGGCUCCUCACAAUUGAGUAGACAAGAUAUAUUCUGAUGAGUGAAGCAAUGUGUUAAGCUCGCACAAACAGUAUUGUUCAGCCGAAAUUUGGGUAAAAAGGUGGAUCUUCCGAUGAACAGGACGAUAUUUUGUAUAAACAGUAAUUUCGGUUACAUUCGAAAAGGCGGCCAAAAUUUUUAUUAUUGUACCCAACAGCAUUGUGCUUCAGUGCUUAAACCUUUAAUAUUUAUCUUUACAAACUUACAAAAUAGAUCCUGCAGUGGCUGGCUACCUUACAAGCAAAGAACCAUUCCGAUGACCACAAUGACAAAAGCAAACGUACUAUAUAUAUGCACAUUUCCCCCUUUGCUUC